rnacentral:rRNA from 1 species
UACGGAGGAUGCGAGCGUUAUCCGGAUUUAUUGGGUUUAAAGGGUGCGCAGGCGGCCUGUUAAGUCAGCGGUAAAAGCCCGGGGCUCAACCCCGGCGAGCCGUUGAAACUGAUGAUCUUGAGUGGGCGAGAAGUAUGCGGAAUGCGUGGUGUAGCGGUGAAAUGCUUAGAUAUCACGAAGAACCCCGAUUGCGAAGGCAGCCUGCCGCAGCGUUACUGACGCUGAAGCUCGAAAGCGCGGGUAUCGAACAGG